UCAACAAAAUGAAAUGGAAUGGGGUUUCACGUCCUACUUUUCUGCUCCGACUGGGCUGUCUAUUAUCUCCAGCUCGAUGCUUUGUUUGUGAAUGAUAUAAAACCAGAUAAAACGCGCAGUAAAGCUAUGAGUUCUACAGACCGAGCUUUACAGUUGACAAGAAGACGGUUUCUAAAUAUGAGGACUAUAACAGUCUCCGUAUGCUUUCUGGUAUGUGCUGUAGUACUAGCUGAAGAUCACAGCGCCUCCACAGACGAUGACCGAGAACUUUCUCGACAGAAGAGGCAGUAUGGAAGCUACGGUAGCAGCGGUUAUGGAGGUGGCAGCGCAUAUGGGAGUAGUGGCGGUUAUGGAAGUAGCAGCGGUUAUGGAGGUAGUAGCGCUUAUGGGGGUAGUAGCGGCGGAUAUCAACAAUACGACUUAGAUCAUCAAGAGGCGGCAAACAGAUAUCAACAAAAUAAAGUCGAUGCCGCCCAGCGCUACCAACAGGACCUUUACCAAAACGAACAAGAGAUGGCAGAAGCUGAACGCCAGUACGAACAAGCCAAAUAUGAUGCCGCUAAUGGUAAUACCCGCGUAAGACGAAAUGCUAUGGAUGAUGAUGACGACGAUGAUGAUCUCGUUAGACGGAAGAGACAGGCUUAUGGUGCUGGUGGGUAUGGCGCUGUCGCCGAUGGUGGAUAUGGAGGAGGUUACGGUGGUGGUUAUGGCAACGCCGGAUAUGGCGCUGUUGCUGAUGGCGGCUAUGGCGGUGGGUAUGGCGGUGGGGGAUAUCAGGCAGGGUACGGAGGAGGUGCAUAUCAGGGGGGCUACGGUGGUGAUCCGGCUGCUGCCAACCAACAAGCAUAUGGUGGAUACGGUCGAUAGUCUCUUUCAGAAGAGGUCCGCUCCAACUUUUUAAAAUGUUUAUAAUAUUUCUACUAUGAUAAUUCCUAAUAUUGCACUUUGUAUUUAGGCUUCGCUUGUUUUCUAAGAUUGCAAUGUUUUUCUAUACACGUAAUGCUACUUUCAAAUAGGACAGACAUUUCGUACUUUGAAUUAUAAUUGCUUUAUAUUUACGCUUCGCUUGUUUUCUAAGAUUACAUUUGUUCCUAUUCAUGUUAUGCUACUUUCAAUUAGGGCAGACAUUUCGUACUUUGAAUUAUAAUUUCUUUGUAUUUCGGCCACGGUAUUAUCUUACUAUGGUUAUUAUGUUAAAUUGCUUUCUAGUUUUAUUUAUCUUGUGAAGUUAUUCUCUUCUGGUGACACCUCGAGUAGAUAGAUGUACACAAGCUCUGUUUAGUAUAACAAACUCUGGCAAUCUUGUAGACGAGAAAGUCCACGUUAAUUCAUAUUCACACCACACUCCAUGAUAGAAAACUAU